CCUAAGGGAGCAAGUCGAGCGAAUCGAUGGGAGCUUGCUCCCUGAGAUUAGCUGCCGACGGGUGAGUAACACAUGGGUAACCUGCCUCAUGCAGGGGGAUAGCCAUCCGAAAGGAUGAUUAAUACCGCAUAAACCAUAGAAACCGCAUGGUAAUUAUGGCAAAGGAGAAAUCCGGCAUGAGAUGGACCCGCGUCCCAUUAGCUAGUUGGUGAGAUAACAGCCCACCAAGGCGACGAUGGGUAGCCGAUCUGAGAGGAUGAACGGCCACAUUGGAACUGAGA
rnacentral:misc_RNA from 1 species